rnacentral:rRNA from 1 species
UACAGGAGGGGCAAGCGUUGUUCGGAAUUACUGGGCGUAAAGGGCUCGUAGGUGGCCAACUAAGUCAGACGUGAAAUCCCUCAGCUUAACUGGGGAACUGCGUCUGAUACUGGAUGGCUUGAGUUUGGGAGAGGGAUGCGGAAUUCCAGGUGUAGCGGUGAAAUGCGUAGAUAUCUGGAGGAACACCGGUGGCGAAGGCGGCAUCCUGGACCAACACUGACACUGAGGAGCGAAAGCCAGGGGAGCAAACGGG